ACUCAAAUGAAUUGACGGGGGCCCGCACAAGCGGUGGAUUAUGUGGUUCAAUUCGAAGCAACGCGAAAAACCUUACCUGGAUUUGACAUGUCACGACCGCUGGAGAAAUCCAGUUUUCUCGCAAGAGACGUGAACACAGGUGCUGCAUGGCUGUCGUCAGCUCGUGUUGUGAAAUGUUGGGUUAAGUCCCGCAACGAGCGCAACCCCUGCGGUUAGUUGCCAGCAUUAAGUUGGGCACUCUAAUCGGACUGCCAGCGUUAAGCUGGAGGAAGGUGGGGACGACGUCAAGUCCUCAUGGCCCUUACAUCCAGGGCUACACACGUAAUACAAUGGGUAGGACAAAGGGUUGCCAACCAGCAAUGGGGAGCUAAUCUCAAAAACCUGCCCUCAGUUCGGAUUGGAGGCUGCAAUUCGCCUCCAUGAAGGUGGAAUCGCUAGUAAUCGUAGAUCAGAACGCUACGGUGAAUACGUUCCCGGGCCUUGUACACACCGCCCGU
rnacentral:rRNA from 1 species